GACGAACGCUGGCGGCGUGCCUAAUACAUGCAAGUCGAGCGCAGGAAGUCAUCCGAACCCUUCGGGGGGACGUUGACGGAAUGAGCGGCGGACGGGUGAGUAACACGUAAAGAACCUGCCCUCAGGUCUGGGAUAACCACGAGAAAUCGGGGCUAAUACCGGAUGGGUCAUCGGACCGCAUGGUCCGAGGAUGAAAGGCGCUCCGGCGUCGCCUGGGGAUGGCUUUGCGGUGCAUUAGCUAGUUGGUGGGGUAAUGGCCCACCAAGGCGACGAUGCAUAGCCGACCUGAGAGGGUGAUCGGCCACACUGGGACUGAGACACGGCCCAGACUCCUACGGGAGGCAGCAGUAGGGAAUCUUCCACAAUGGACGAAAGUCUGAUGGAGCAACGCCGCGUGAACGAUGAAGGCCCUCGGGUCGUAAAGUUCUGUUGUAAGGGAAGAACAAGUGCCGCAGGCAGUGGCGGCACCUUGACGGUACCUUGCGAGAAAGCCACGGCUAACUACGU
rnacentral:rRNA from 1 species